rnacentral:rRNA from 1 species
CCUACGGGUGGCAGCAGUAGGGAAUAUUGCUCAAUGGGGGAAACCCUGAAGCAGCAACGCCGCGUGGAGGAUGAAGGUUUUAGGAUUGUAAACUCCUUUUGUUAGAGAAGAUUAUGACGGUAUCUAACGAAUAAGCACCGGCUAACUCCGUGCCAGCAGCCGCGGUAAUACGGAGGGUGCAAGCGUUACUCGGAAUCACUGGGCGUAAAGAGUGCGUAGGCGGGGUAAUAAGUCAGAUGUGAAAUCCUGUAGCUUAACUACAGAACUGCAUUUGAAACUGUUACUCUGGAGUGUGGGAGAGGUAGGUGGAAUUCUUGGUGUAGGGGUAAAAUCCGUAGAGAUCAAGAGGAAUACUCAUUGCGAAGGCGGCUUACCAAUCUAUAUCUGACGUUGAGGCACGAAAGCGUGGGGAGCAAACAGGAUUAGAUACCCUAGUAGUC